rnacentral:lncRNA from 1 species
CUCGGAUCAGUGCGGAUUUUUGGAACAUUGCGGCUUUUCGUCAUAGUUUAGAACGCCAGUUCAGGCAACCUAUGGAAGCUUUUCUUUUGAUGAAGGCACAUCUGGCGGAUUUUUUGGGUGUCUGUGGCGAGCUCGGUGUUAACGUGGUCUGCACACACUGUGAUGCAUUGUAUGCAUGUUGAAAUCGACACAGCAAAAAAUGAGGACGCAAGAAGAACAAAUACACACCACUGCGUCGUCUCGCAACUACCCUUAUAAGAAAGCACACCAUUCGAAGGAAACCAAAGGUAUCAAACUCCCCUGAUCUGGUGGACGACAAUCACAAAGAGUUGUACGACUGCUUAAAUUUGCGUCCACCAUGGUGGAUAAGGGGCUAAGGUGCUCACCUGCCGACCCGAAGUUCGGGAGUUUGAUCCUGGCCACGACAGUCACAUCUCUACAUCUCGUUAUAAUGCAACAACCCUGCCUGCUCUACAAAAUUUUUUUACAGUAGGCUGCUUAAAUAUGGGACUGUGCUGCGUUUGCCAAGACUGAAUUAUGCCAUGCAGCUUUUUUAUGAGAAAGAAAUGAAACAGCACCAUGAUUAAAAGAUAAGGUGAAAAUGGCAGACCCAUGUUGUUUCUGUUGCCUUAUCUCUAAUUUAUAGUGCUGCACGAUUCUUUCCUAAAAUAGAUGUAUUCUAUAGUACACCUUCAAUGUGUGCUACUAAGCACAUUGUGAAAAACUGCUCCACACAAUAAAUGAGGGAAUUAUUCAUUUAGGAGUUUAGUAUAGGAGCAGAAGCUUCACUUUGGUAUGCAUAGGUUCUAUAACAAAAAAACAAAACAGAAAAUGACUGUACCACUCUUGCAGGAAGUUAAAAGCAUGCCAACAAUUAUAAAGCAGAAGAAGAAAGGACAAAGGAUUCCGAAGACCUAGCACUCGUAUGUAAUAGUAUAUCACAAUCUUGUGCAUUUAAAAUAAAGCAAUAUUCAUACCCUGA